AUACGUAGGGGGCGAGCGUUGUCCGGAAUGAUUGGGCGUAAAGGGCGCGUAGGCGGCCCGGUAAGUCUGGAGUGAAAGUCCUGUUUUUAAGAUGGGAAUUGCUUUGGAUACUGUCGGGCUUGAGUGCAGGAGAGGUAAGUGGAAUUCCCAGUGUAGCGGUGAAAUGCGUAGAGAUUGGGAGGAACACCAGUGGCGAAGGCGGGUAACUGGACUGCAACUGACGCUGAGGCGCGAAAGUGUGGGGAGCAAACAGGAUUAGAUACCCUGGUAGUCCACGCCCUAAACGAUGAAUACUAGGUGUGGGGGGACUGACCCCUUCCGUGCCGGAGUAAACACAAUAAGUAUUCCACCUGGGGAGUACGACCGCAAGGUUGAAACUCAAAGGAAUUGACGGGG
rnacentral:rRNA from 1 species